UUUAACGCAGCACAUAAAGUGUCUCACUGUUCACAAAUAUUUUGAAGAAAAGCGAUGACUUCAUCGUUUUGAUGGUAUCGACAAUAUCAAAGUCAAAUCAAUUACAAAGCACACAAAAAGUUCACUUUCUCGUUAUAUUUUAACAGAUAAAUAGUCCCCGUGACAAGACAAUUCAGUUUUAACCUGAUAAAGCAUCUCUCUCAGCGUAUAGAAGAGCAGAAUGAAGGAUACCAUCAUUGCCAUUGUAUUCUUUGUCACCCUCCAAAACAAUGUGGCAUCUUCAGUCGAUGUUUCUCAUACUGAAAUCUAUUUACUUGUAGAAAGACCUGAUUUUCCUACAAAUGGAUCCGUUCCAGGGUUUCCAAAAUUUAAUAAUCCCUACGCAAAUUGUACUCCUCGUCUCACGUUUGAUUCGAAAAAUGGAAAUGGAUAUUGUUGGGAACAUCCUACGAAACUAAGUUUCAAUGAGGAUUGGGCACCUGUAGUCAGUGAUCGAAUGUUCACGUUCAAAUUGAUCUGUAAUAGCACUGACCAAACAACCUGGAAAUAUAACCAAACAAAUCGUUGGGACUACAAUUUGGAUAAUUAUAAUGCCUCACACAUUACCUUGCCUUAUGCUUCAGUGCUGUAUAUCCGAAAACCACGUGGCCUACAUACGGGUUUUGAUGAAAUAUCUACGAUUGCUACCUGCAUUCCUGCAGCAACAGAAAGCGAAUCAGAAGAUCAAGGUGUAUCCGUAAAAAUUUCUCCUUGGUUAGAGAUAAGGCAAUUGAAACUUUCGGACAAUUUGUAUAAAAUAUAUUUGGGAAAGUAAA